UUGUAUUCGCUGGAUAUGAUAAAUAGUACGAUAUGCAUAUUAUAUAAAUAAAUACAAAUCGUUGUAAUUGUGUUUGGCAAAUAUUUUAUAAGGGUUUAAUGUUUCAAACAGGACUAUAUAACCAAAGUGUUUUUGAUUUGUUUCAUUAACAACUGUUGCAAAAUUACAAAACUUUUGCCAAAGGAGUUUUAUGAAGCUGUCCAAACAUUUACUAUCCUCGUGUAGAAACUAUGUACAUAUGUAUACACUGAAAACACGCAUG